GUCUACAGCCAUGCCACCCUGAACAAGCCCGAUCUCAUCUGAUAUCAGAAGCUAAGCAAGGUCGGGCCUGGUUCGUACUUGGAUAGGAGACCACCUAGGAAGACCAGGUGCUAUAGGCG
rnacentral:rRNA from 1 species